UGGCCUGCCCGCUGAUUGAAGGGCCGCGGUAUUUUGACCGUGCAAAGGUAGCAUAGUCAUUAGUUCUUUAAUUGUGAUCUGGUAUGAAUGGCUUGACGAGACAUGGGCUGUCUUUUUGAAUUUGUAUUUUGAGUUAAAAUUCUUAGAUGUUUUUAUGGGACGAGAAGACCCUAUAGAGUUUNACAUUUGGUUUUUUGUUGGUUUUAAAUUUUUGCGUUUGUUUUGUUGGGGUGAUGGGAAGAAUUUUUUAACUCUUCUUUAUUGGUAUAUUGAUUUAUAUUUAUUUUGAUCCAUUUAUUUUGAUUAUAAGAUUAAAUUACCUUAGGGAUAACAGCGUUAUCUUCCCUGAGAGUUCUUAUUGGCGGGGGGGUUUGCGACCUCGAUGUUGGAUUAAGGUUAAUUUUUGGUGUAGGAGCUGAAUUGAUUAGGUCUGUUCGACCUUUAAAAUCUU
rnacentral:rRNA from 1 species